AGGCGGGACACUAAAUGGGGAUUACAGAGAGACACUUUUUUUGGAUUUGGUGGUAAAGUGAAAAUUUCUAUUGAUCAAACAUUUUCCCGGGGAAUUUGUGAAUGAAUGCGGUAUCGAAUAAACAUUUAGUGUUGAGCUGGGAGAUUCCUUAACUUUUUGUGCCAUUCAUGAAAACUACAUCAAGGAAAAUGUGGUUAGUAGGUUUCAAAUAUUGUGAAUGGCUUUAGUGAUAAAUACCUGUACUGUAUGGGCCAAUUGAAGUAGAGUUUUAUAAAAAUAAAA